AAUCCGUCGACUUUAAAAAUCGUGAGGGUUCAAGUCCCUCU
rnacentral:tRNA from 1 species